AUGGGAGGACCGUCCAUAGCAACGGUGGAUUUGUCUAGGUUAGAGACCUGGAUACUAAAAAGGAAGAGAGUUACUAAGGCCGCCUCUGGUGUUGUCGAGCCCCAAUCUCCGACUCUUUCCCUUCUCGAAGAUCCUCACCAAGGUUCUCCGAAGAAGAUGAAGACCCUUAUGGCUGAUGAAGUUUGCAAAGUCGAAUGGGAGAUUACUUCUUUGAUGUAA